GAUGAACGCUGGCGGCGUGCCUAAUACAUGCAAGUCGAGCGAACGGACGAGAAGCUUGCUUCUCUGAUGUUAGCGGCGGACGGGUGAGUAACACGUGGAUAACCUACCUAUAAGACUGGGAUAACGUCGGGAAACCGGAGCUAAUACCGGAUAAUAUUUUGAACCGCAUGGUUCAAAAGUGAAAGACGGUCUUGCUGUCACUUAUAGAUGGAUCCGCGCUGCAUUAGCUAGUUGGUAAGGUAACGGCUUACCAAGGCAACGAUGCAUAGCCGACCUGAGAGGGUGAUCGGCCACACUGGAACUGAGACACGGUCCAGACUCCUACGGGAGGCAGCAGUAGGGAAUCUUCCGCAAUGGGCGAAAGCCUGACGGAGCAACGCCGCGUGAGUGAUGAAGGUCUUCGGAUCGUAAAACUCUGUUAUUAGGGAAGAACAUAUGUGUAAGUAACUGUGCACAUCUUGACGGUACCUAAUCAGAAAGCCACGGCUAACUACGUA
rnacentral:rRNA from 1 species